GACGAACGCUGGCGGCGUGCUUAACACAUGCAAGUCGAACGGUGAACGAGGGAGCUUGCUCCCUCCGGAUCAGUGGCGAACGGGUGAGUAACACGUGAGCAAUCUGCCCCGAACUCUGGGAUAAGCGUUGGAAACGACGUCUAAUACCGGAUACGACGCGGGAGGGCAUCCUCUCCGCGUGGAAAGAACUUCGGUUCGGGAUGAGCUCGCGGCCUAUCAGCUUGUUGGUGAGGUAACGGCUCACCAAGGCGACGACGGGUAGCCGGCCUGAGAGGGUGACCGGGCACACCUGGACUGAGACACGGCCCAGACUCCUACGGGAGGCAGCAGUGGGGAAUAUUGCACAAUGGGCGCAAGCCUGAUGCAGCAACGCCGCGUGAGGGACGACGGCCUUCGGGUUGUAAACCUCUUUUAGCAGGGAAGAAGCGAAAGUGACGGUACCUGCAGAAAAAGCACCGGCUAACUACGUG
rnacentral:rRNA from 1 species